rnacentral:rRNA from 2 species
UGCAAGUCGAACGGAGCUGGCCCCGCAAGGGACUGGCUUAGUGGCGAACGGGUGAGUAACGCGUGAGGAACCUGCCUUUCAGUGGGGGACAACAGUUGGAAACGACUGCUAAUACCGCAUGACGCUUCUUGGGGGCAUCCCUGAGGAGUCAAAGCUUUAAGUGCUGAAAGAUGGCCUCGCGUCUGAUUAGCUGGUUGGCGGGGUAACGGCCCACCAAGGCGACGAUCAGUAGCCGGUCUGAGAGGAUGAACGGCCACAUUGGGACUGAGAUACGGCCCAGACUCCUACGGGAGGCAGCAGUGGGGAAUAUUGGGCAAUGGGGGAAACCCUGACCCAGCAACGCCGCGUGAAGGAAGAAGGCCUUCGGGUUGUAAACUUCUUUUACCAGGGACGAAGGACGUGACGGUACCUGGAGAAAAAGCAACGGCUAACUACGUGCCAGCAGCCGCGGUAAUACGUAGGUUGCAAGCGUUGUCCGGAUUUACUGGGUGUAAAGGGCGUGUAGGCGGAGGAGCAAGUCAGAUGUGAAAUCCCGGGGCUUAACCCCGGAACUGCAUUUGAAACUGUUUCCCUUGAGUAUCGGAGAGGCAAGCGGAAUUCCUAGUGUAGCGGUGAAAUGCGUAGAUAUUAGGAGGAACACCAGUGGCGAAGGCGGCUUGCUGGACGACAACUGACGCUGAGGCGCGAAAGCGUGGGGAGCAAACAGGAUUAGAUACCCUGGUAGUCCACGCUGUAAACGAUGAAUACUAGGUGUGGGAGGACUGACCCCUUCCGUGCCGCAGUUAACACAAUAAGUAUUCCACCUGGGGAGU